AUGUGGGCCUUGGACUCUGCAGACCUCAGCCUCCUCAUUAGUCCACGGCUGCCCUCCAAGGCCUCCAAGCGCCCUGUGGUAGGGGGCUUUGUGCCUCUCCAGGCAUCUGAAAACAAGAGCCAUCAGAGGCUGGAAGUUGGGAGCCACCCAGACCACAUCCUGUUUGGCUGCGGCGCCGAUUCAGUCGUGCCAAUAUUGCGGAACAAAAGAACGUUCUGCACAGGCUUCAGGGGGAGACGCCACAGUAGAGAAGGAACCCGACAGGGCUCUGGCCAGGGGCACAACGGCCCACGCGCCCGCCAGCUCGGCCCACACUCAGCCCACGGCUGACGGCCGGUUGUGCCCAGGGCCCUGCGUUUGCCCACCUCUACCCCGAACGGCUCAGGCUUUCAAAUGCUUGAAAAACCCUCCACAAACAUGCCGGCUCCACCUGAAGAGCUGAGGAAGGGCCUGGAGGUGUGACUUCUCCAACAUCCCUGAACCACUUCCACGGGGCCCGUUGUGCGUUUUGACUGAAAUGGGCCAUGAGUCUCAGUCAGGCACCAGAUCUGCAUGCCUGGGAUGGAGAAGCAGAGCGAUGAGAUCCAGCUCACAAGGAACAAAGCAUGAGCCCCAGUCCUCCCAGAGCCCCCCCACCUGCCCACCCAGAUCGCACCCCUGAUGAUCAUGGAGCACCUGGCUACUCAAAGUGCCAUCCGGACCAGCAGCCUCUUCCCCAGGCCAGAAUCUGCACGUUCGAGAGACCCCAGGCGAUUCCUGUGCACACAGAUUUGAGCUGGGCUGGGCGGGAACACGGCAGGUGCAGCGGAGUCCUGCAGUUAUUGUCUGCUCUCCUGAGCUGGGUCCUAGAAGAAAGCCUUUUCUUCUAAGAUGACUAACUCAGGUGCAGGGCCGGUGCCUGCGGGCGAGUGUGACUUCCUGGGGUGGGUGUGUAACUGUGCCUGCUCCCUGUGCCAGCUCGUGGCAUGAGGAGAAGACAGCUAAAGGAGCAGAUGGCUCAGCGUGGCCGCGUACUCUGUGCGUGCUUUAUUCAGCCGUCUUCGGGGGAGAGACAAUCUCAUCCUGUUUCCCACGCAUCAAUCCUGGGCCCCGAGUGGGUAACAGGACUAGCAGGGCCCUGGGCCAUCAUCAUGAACACCUGGCCCCGCCCCCAAGCCUAAUAGCCGGGCUCUGCAUUUCGGAGCAGUUUAUAAAGGGGCCCAUUGUCCCAGGCUCUGCUCCCUUUCUCAGGUUCACCUGGCAGACACGAUGGCAUUUGUGUUUGGAAACCCGCUCCUGCACCAGCCGGGAGGGCAGCUCACCUGUAAACGUCUGGUCCCGGACAGAACAAAGAACGCGCUGUGGGCAAGAGACAGGCCCCGGCCUGACCCCGAGUGGGCUGGGCCCCCAGCGCCCGGCUUUGAGGAACUGGGCGGCUGCUGGCCAGGGUGUGGAAGCCCUGGGCUUCUCCCUGGCAGGGGGCACCCGGAUCCCGACACCAGCCGUGGUCACUGCAUGAAGCAGACAUGGGCGCAGAGGGCCACGCCGGCCCCAGAGCUGCAUUAUGAAACCCCGCCACCCACUGGCCUUCCCUGCCACUCUAAAUAAACUCCUUUAGAACAGA